GCCAGGUGUGGUGGCGUGCGCCUGUAGUCCCAGCUACUUGGGAGGCUGAGGUGGGAGGAUCGCUUGAACCCAGGAGGUCGAGGCUGCAGUGAGCCGUGUUUGCACCACUGCACUCCAGCCUGGGUGACAGAGCAAGACCCUGUUUCAA
rnacentral:SRP_RNA from 1 species